AUUUUGCGCAAUGGGCGAAAGCCUGACGCAGCAACGCCGCGUGAGUGACGAAGGCCUUCGGGUUGUAAAACUCUUUUAGUUGGGAAGAAGUAAAUGACGGUACCAACAGAAACAGCACCGGCUAACCCUGUGCCAGCAGCCGCGGUAAUACAGGGGGUGCAAGCGUUAUUCGGAAUUAUUGGGCGUAAAGAGCGCGUAGGAGGUUUAUUAAGUCUGGUGUGAAAGCCCUGGGCUCAAUCCAGGAAGUGCAUUGGAUACUGAUAGACUAGAGUACAGGAGAGGUAGGCGGAAUUCCAGGUGUAGAGGUGAAAUUCGUAGAUAUCUGGAGGAACAACAGUGGCGAAGGCGGCCUACUGGACUGUAACUGACGCUAAGGCGCGAAAGCGUGGGGAGCAAA
rnacentral:rRNA from 1 species